UGGGGAAUAUUGCNCNNUGGGGGGAACCCUGACGCAGCCAUGCCGCGUGAAUGAAGAAGGCCUUCGGGUUGUAAAGUUCUUUCGGUAUUGAGGAAGGUUGAUGUGUUAAUAGCACAUCAAAUUGACGUUAAAUACAGAAGAAGCACCGGCUAACUCCGUGCCAGCAGCCGCGGUAAUACGGAGGGUGCGAGCGUUAAUCGGAAUAACUGGGCGUAAAGGGCACGCAGGCGGUUAUUUAAGUGAGGUGUGAAAGCCCCGGGCUUAACCUGGGAAUUGCAUUUCAGACUGGGUAACUAGAGUACNNNAGGGAGGGGUAGAAUUCCACGUGUAGCGGUGAAAUGCGUAGAGAUGUGGAGGAAUACCGAAGGCGAAGGCAGCCCCUUGGGAAUGUACUGACGCUCAUGUGCGAAAGCGUGGGGAGCAAACAGGAUUAGAUACCCUGGUAGUCCACGCUGUAAAACGCUGUCGAUUUGGGGGUUGGGGUUUAACUCUGGCGCCCGUAGCUAACGUGAUAAAUCGACCGCCUGGGGAGUACGGCCGCAAGGUUAA
rnacentral:rRNA from 1 species